UACGUAGGGUGCGAGCGUUGUCCGGAAUUAUUGGGCGUAAAGGGCUCGUAGGCGGUUUGUCGCGUCUGCCGUGAAAGUCCGGGGCUCAACUCCGGACUUGCAGUGGGUACGGGCAGGCUAGAGUGUGGUAGGGGAGACUGGAAUUCCUGGUGUAGCGGUGGAAUGCGCAGAUAUCAGGAGGAACACCGAUGGCGAAGGCAGGUCUCUGGGCCACUACUGACGCUGAGAAGCGAAAGCAUGGGGAGCGAACAGG
rnacentral:rRNA from 1 species